GGGGAAUAUUGCGCAAUGGGGGAAACCCUGACGCAGCAACGCCGCGUGAAGGAAGAAGGUCUUCGGAUCGUAAACUUCUUUGAUGAGGGACGAACAAAUGACGGUACCUCAAAAACAAGCCACGGCUAACUACGUGCCAGCAGCCGCGGUAAUACGUAGGUGGCGAGCGUUGUCCGGAAUUACUGGGUGUAAAGGGCGUGUAGGCGGGGAAGCAAGUCAGAUGUGAAAUACCGUGGCUCAACCACGGGGCUGCAUCUGAAACUGUUUUUCUUGAGUGUCGGAGAGGAAAGUGGAAUUCCCAGUGUAGCGGUGAAAUGCGUAGAUAUUGGGAGGAACACCAGUGGCGAAGGCGACUUUCUGGACGAUAACUGACGCUGAGGCGCGAAAGCGUGGGGAGCAAAC
rnacentral:rRNA from 1 species